CAAUACAUGGCGGACGGGUGAGUAACGCGUGAGCAACCUGCCCAUAUCUGGGGGAUAACAGUUGGAAACGACUGAUAAUACCGCAUAACAUCGUCGGAAGGCAUCUUCUGACGAUCAAAGAUUUAUCGGAUAUGGAUGGGCUCGCGUCUGAUUAGCUUGUUGGUGAGGUAACGGCUCACCAAGGCGACGAUCAGUAGCCGACCUGAGAGGGUGAUCGGCCACAUUGGAACUGAGACACGGUCCAAACUCCUACGGGAGGCAGCAGUGGGGAAUAUUGGGCAAUGGAGGAAACUCUGACCCAGCAACGCCGCGUGAAUGAUGAAGGUCUUCGGAUUGUAAAGUUCUUUUCUAAGGGAAGAAGAAAGUGACGGUACCUUAGGAAUAAGCCUCGGCUAACUACGUGCCAGCAGCCGCGGUAAUACGUAGGAGGCAAGCGUUAUCCGGAAUGACUGGGCGUAAAGGGUGCGUAGGUGGUUUGACAAGUUGGUAGCGUAACUCCGGGGCUCAACCUCGGCACUACUACCAAAACUGCCAAACUUGAGUGCAGGAGGGGCAAAUGGAAUUCCUAGUGUAGCGGUGGAAUGCGUAGAUAUUAGGAGGAACACCAGUGGCGAAGGCGAUUUGCUGGACUGUAACUGACACUGAGGCACGAAAGCGUGGGGAGCAAACAGGAUUAGAUACCCUGGUAGUCCACGCUGUAAACGAUGAAUACUAGGUGUAGGGGGUAUCGACUCCCUCUGUGCCGCCGCUAACGCAU
rnacentral:rRNA from 1 species